GGUGAACGCUGGCGGCGUGCCUAAUACAUGCAAGUCGAGCGAACAGACGAGGAGCUUGCUCCUCUGACGUUAGCGGCGGACGGGUGAGUAACACGUGGAUAACCUACCUAUAAGACUGGGAUAACUUCGGGAAACCGGAGCUAAUACCGGAUAAUAUAUUGAACCGCAUGGUUCAAUAGUGAAAGACGGUUUUGCUGUCACUUAUAGAUGGAUCCGCGCCGCAUUAGCUAGUUGGUAAGGUAACGGCUUACCAAGGCAACGAUGCGUAGCCGACCUGAGAGGGUGAUCGGCCACACUGGAACUGAGACACGGUCCAGACUCCUACGGGAGGCAGCAGUAGGGAAUCUUCCGCAAUGGGCGAAAGCCUGACGGAGCAACGCCGCGUGAGUGAUGAAGGUCUUCGGGUCGUAAAACUCUGUUAUUAGGGAAGAACAAAUGUGUAAGUAACUAUGCACGUCUUGACGGUACCUAAUCAGAAAGCCACGGCUAACUACGUG
rnacentral:rRNA from 1 species